rnacentral:lncRNA from 1 species
CCAUCACCACAACUUUUCUAGUUGCCCUCGUCGGAUUCCAGUAGAAGUAAGCAAGCCAACAACCUAGUUUAUUCUAAUAAUCUAUUUUAUUGAAAUUCAUGCCGGCAUUCUCGGUUGGAGAGGGCGUCUCCCUCUCCAACCGGUACCGUCUAUUUAAUUUUUCUUUUUUAUUUAAUUUUUCUUUUUUAUUUAAUUUUUCUAUUUUUUAUCUCAGCUUUUCAUUUAUUUCUGUUAUCUUUAUAUUUGCAUUUCUAUUUUAUUACUUAUUUGUUAUUGUAUAAUGGUGAUUGGUGUGCUCGUUGUUGUUUCUACUAUUCUAAGAGGUGAUUCCGGUAACUGUUGAUGUUGCUGCCCUAAUCGUUGGAUCGAGGAGGGGAUGUCUGUGUUGGAGUCAUUGGGUGUUAAUGUUUACCACGUCAAAGUUUCCAAUAGCCUAGACCAGGGGCUCAUUGUGGGCUUAUCAGUAAAUCACCUAGAGAGUAGUUUGUUAUUAUGACUUUUUCCUUUUAGUAUAUUAUUGUCUUAAUAAUUUCUCUGAAUUUUAGUUGAGGUUCAAGGGUUAAAUUGUGUUGUUUACUGUUGUUGAAGUAGUAGUUGCAGUUGUAAUUGUAGCAAGAACUAUA